rfam:Sphaerotilus natans subsp. natans DSM 6575 X805_73, whole genome shotgun sequence.
GUCUAUGGCGGGCCGUGCGGGAGGGGGCAACCCCUGCCGGUCCUUGCCCGGUCUGCCAACCCGCACGGUCUGCCACCCCU